CCACCCGUAGCUCAGUUGGUAGAGCGGUCGUCUUAUACACGAUUGGUCCCUGGUUCGAGUCCAGGCGGGUGGA
rnacentral:tRNA from 2 species